ensembl:lncRNA
CCUAAAGCGCUUGAGAGUUCUGCAGCUGAAACAGUAUAAGUCGGUUAGCAGCAAGGAAGCAGAGAUGAGAUGGACAGUUCUCUGAGCUCCAUCUGGGAAACUGUUCCAAACCGCAACACACUGUCUGCCCAGAGGACUUGCAUUUCCCCCUAGAUUUUGUGCCAACAGCCUCAUGAGGGAAGUCAGUGUGGGAAGUCAGUCAGUCCUUGGGAAGCAGUGUGGGUAGGUGAAGUGGGGUGUAGAGUAAAGGAGAGAUUAAAGGUCUUAAAUAGCAGGCCUUUGGAGAAGGAGGGAACCAGCUGCUGCUCUUGGCCUCAGCACACUGGGCCAUUGCCGAGACCAUUCUCUGUCUCAUUCCCACGUUGGCCAAUGCUUAAAUGCUAUUUGUUGAAAAUAAUUCUUUGGGACAGAUUUCAGCUACCUCCCUUCCAGGUUUGAUUUAACUUGGUUGUAACUGUCAAUUUGUUAACGGUUUUACCUGUGUGGAUUUUUUAAAAAAGAAACAAAUAGAAAAAGACGUGAAAGAGAAGAAAAGAACAGGAAGGAAAGCAGUCAUAUUAGCUGUUUCUGAGUGUGUGUGUGUGUGUGUGUGUGUGUGUGAGUCUGUGUGUAUCUGUGUGUCUCUAUGUGUGAGUCUCUGUGUGUGUUUGUGUGAUUGUUUUUCCUGAAACUACUUCAAGUGAGAAAAUAAAUAGAAGGAAUUGAAGGUGACAAAACUGUAAAAAUUGAAAUUAAUAGAAGACAAAGUGAUUACAAGGGACUAAAAUGCAUUAUUAAAGUCUAAGAAUAUGAACCCUGUUUUUAUGCUUCCUGGAGGAGACUAUUCUGUAGACUGAGUAGAUAGAGAUGACAUAGAGAUUUCUCUAGAAAAUGUAGAGUGGGAUUCUAUGGCUCUGACUAACCCUUUCUGAACAUUGUGGUAGGUCCAGGAAGUAAGGCAUUUUCUCCCUUGAGUUGUUGUCAGCUAAGCAUUUGGUUCAUUUCUUUGGUGACUGUCUAUGGUAGAGGGGACAGGGGAAGGUUGAUAUUGAUAGUUACCAAAUAUUAAGGAUAGAAACUGUGUCUUUGUCCUUUUUUACUCUAUACGAUAUUUGUAUCGGCCAGUAUAGCCCUGAGCUCCCUAAAGACUGCACUCAGAACCACACUGCAUAGCUCUGUUCUUCAGAGCUGCUCCAUGACCAGGCAGGUGAUCCCACUGAAUACUGAGAAAGGAUCAAACCAAGUAAACAGAAUCCUCACUUCUCAGACUUAGUUUCCAAAUCACAGGCUUCAUUAAGAGAAGAGAUAACAUCCUGAGUGCAAGUUGGGCUUCUUCAACUUCACACCAGCAGCUAGUGAGGAGAACUUUGAACAAUUAUUGAGUUGCUUUCUUGGGUCUCUAUAAUCAAUAACCUUUCUGCAGAUAUCUAUCUAUAUAAAGAUAUUAUAUAUAAAUAAAAAUUUACAUAUAUAUGCACAUGUAUAUAUAGCUGUACAUAUAUGUGUGUAUAUAUAUACUUAAAUGUAAUAUUUACAAAACUGUGAUCUCGUCUAGAGAAAAUGUAUUCAUAUUACAAACUGCUCUUCCAUAUUUAUGUAUCAUAUUUACCUUUUUAUUACUGUCGUAAUUAUUGAGGGUAUUUCUAAUUAUUAUGAUGUUAGGAUCUGUUUAGCAUCUUCUGGAAGCAACCAAAAAAUAUGACUUUUCAUUGAAGUGCUUAGAAUCUGUUCUCAUGAGAAUUCCACUGGUCUACUGUAAAACAAAGAAAGAAAUAAAAAGAAACAAAAAAUGAAAGAAAGGAAGAAAGAGAGAGAAAAGAAAGAUUAAAGCAAAGUAAACAGCAAAAACUAAAUACAACCCCAACCUUCUUCCUGCACCUCGCGCGCAGAAAUGUGCUGCUCUUGUUUUGGGAUUUAUUUUUCCUGUUUAUGUGUUUUUAUGGAUCUAAGUUAAGUCUUUCAGCAAUAUAUAAAAAUGUAAAUAGUUAACUUUAUUUAUUAAGAAUGUCAUCUUUUUUAAUUUAUAUUUACACGAUGGUUCAUCUAAUUUAUUUUUUCUAUACGGUUUUAAAUACUCAAACAUAUUUUUCUGUUCAUGGUAAUUUUUAAGCUCUUCUCAUGGAUUGGUGUUUCCAUACUGUUUUCUCUGGUCUCAAUUACAGGUUAGAUCUGACACACACACACACACACACACACACACACACACAACUAAUAUCAAAGACAAAUAUUUUGCCACUGUUGAUUACUAUACCUUAAAGUUCUAUAUUAUGAAAAUAUAUAAUAGCUUGUCUGAUUCAGCAUGUUGUUGUGUGGCUUUUGACUGCUAUAGAGAUACAUAGAAUGGUCAUGUGUGUGCACACAAACACGCUCAAACACACAGGAACACACACCCAUGCAAUAACAUGUGAGCUUAUAAUUUAAAAAAUCAUUAAAAAAGCAUGAAAUUGAAUUCAAUAUAUAUAUCAAGUCCUCUAUAUAAUUCCUGAAAAGUAUCUAUAUUUUGUACAUGCAAAACCUGGCAAACAUUAUUAUACAUUGUAAUAUAUUUCCAUUCUAUGGCACUAAAGCAUAUACUCUGUGUCCUUAUAUACUACUAUUUGGACUCUGUCUUCAACAAUAUACUCUGAGAAUAAUUUUUAUUUUCAUAACAAACAAUAAACAAACAACAAAAAAGGAACACACCCUGUGUUCUUGGUGUAACCCUGUCCUUGUAAUCCUGAGCUCACUACCCAGGUUGAUACUGCACAAACCCUGCAGAAAUCUGGUCCUUCAACAUUACAUCACGGAUCAGGGACUGAGCGGCUGGUUAUGAUGCCUCUCUCCCUAAAGAGCUAUUGACAGGUCAUUGUUGCAGGGGGAGAGAGGUAUCAUUUUCUCCAGUGUCAUAAGAAUUGGCAAGGGGCCCAUGCUUCAAUAAAUAACCCUCUCUCUAAGCUCAUCCAAGCAAACCUUAUUAAAUAAAUGUUAGGACCAACAAUAUCAACAACAACAAAAAGUGAGAAAACUAAGAAGAAGGGCAUGUGCAAGGCAGGGGAGGGGAGAGAGAGGGAGGAGUGGAUAGGAUCACAACACAAUGUAUAUGUAUAAAGUUUUUAAAAUGAUGUUAUGUGAAAAAUAAUAAAUUAAAAAGAACGAAAAAUUAACCACCCAGUCCAUCUUGUGAACCUGCACUGAGACUGGAUAUUGCUGCUUUCUCUCUGUUUAGCACAUUUUAUUGUUCAUCAGUACCCAGCUAGUAAGUAGCUAUGCAGUCUUUGGAAAGUUAUUAAAUUGUUUUAAGGUUUUGUUUUACUAUCUGUGAAAUGAAAAUAAACUAUCAACUUUAUAAGAUUCUUAAUUGCGUUUUUUUUUUAAGAUAAGCUUUCAGUGAUUCAGAACAUGAUUGGUCAUGGGUUGCAUCACUCUUGUCAGGGUGAGAACAAAGUUGCUUGUGAAAAAUACCAAUAACAUAUUAAUUUUAC